AUAAUAAUAAAUUUUAAACCCGAACUUAAGUGAGCUGAUAUUAAUAUUUGCUAAGAGCCCAUUUUUUAAUGUUUCAAUAUUAUAAAUAAAAUAAAUAUCAGAAGCUACAUACCUCCCGCACUUCAAUAUAGCUGGUUUCCAUCCCAUCCAGUCUAAGCUGUAAUAAUUGUAACCUAUUUCAUUUUCAUUAUACAAUUAAUUAACCUAAUUGAGGAUAAGCUCAAUUAUUCCCCUUAUUUUAUUUAAAUUAAAUACAAAAAGUAGGCUUAAAAUCAGCCCCCUAAAACUCGUCAUAGUAUACUUCUAAAUAUAAUAUUACAUAAAAUAAUUAAUAAUGGAUAAUAUUUAAAACCUCCAAAAUAUUUAACUAUGCAAAAAUCAGUAUUACAUUAAACAACCUUAUUAAUUCUAAUAAUUAACAAACAACCAUAUAUAAAAAAGGAACUCGGCAAAUCAAAGCUUCGUCUGUUUAACAAAAACAUAGCCUAUUGACAACCUUAUAAUAGGUAUAUAUCCUGCCCAGUGAAUUUUCAACGGCCGCGGUAUCCUGACCGUGCAAAGGUAGCAUAAUCAUUUGCCUCCUAAUUAGAGGCUAGUAUGAAUGGAAAAACGAAAGCCUAACUGUCUCCUUUAUAAUAAUAAAAAUUAACCUUCAGGUGAAGAGGCCUGAAUUUAUUUAAAAGACAAGAAGACCCUGUCGAGCUUAAUUCCAUAAAAUAAAAAUCUUAAUUUUAAAUCUUACAAGAAUUUUGUUGGGGCGACAAGGGAACAAAUAUAACUUCCCUAUAUAAUAAAGAUUAUUUAUCAACCCAUAGACCCAUUUCAUGAUCUUUAAUUCUAGCUACCGCAGGGAUAACAGUCUUAUUUCCCCCAAGAGCCCACAUCUACGGGGAAGUUUAGCACCUCGAUGUUGGCUUAGGAAUUCUAUUAAAUGUAGCCGUUUAAAUA
rnacentral:rRNA from 1 species